UACGAAGGUGGCUAGCGUUGUUCGGAAUUACUGGGCGUAAAGGGCGCGUAGGCGGUGUGUCAAGUCAGGCGUGAAAGCCCCGGGCUCAACCUGGGAACCGCGCUUGAGACUGGCACGCUCGAGUUCGGGAGAGGAUGGUGGAAUUCCCAGUGUAGAGGUGAAAUUCGUAGAUAUUGGGAAGAACACCGAUGGCGAAGGCAGCCAUCUGGACCGACACUGACGCUGAGGCGCGAAAGCGUGGGGAGCAAACAGG
rnacentral:rRNA from 1 species